rnacentral:rRNA from 1 species
AGGAUCAUUACAGUAUGAUUAGGGGGUUAGAUGCUGGCCCGUGAGGGCAUGUGCGCACCCCCAUCUUCUAAUCCCACACACACCUGUGCACCUAUGGAGAGCGCCUCCCAUCUUGGAGUCGUCUGGCGUCCUUCUCUCUCUUCGGAGGGUGGGGGAGGCUGGACUGGGGUGCUCUCUCCUUUUACAUCUCAGCCUGUUAAAAUGCAUGUCUUUUUGAGCCCUACGGGGGUGGAAAAUUGUAAUACAACUUUCAACAACGGAUCUCUUGGCUUUCGCAUCGAUGAAGAACGCCGCGAAAGUGCGAAACGUAAUGUGAAUUGCAGAAUUCAGUGAAUCAUCGAAUCUUUGAACGCAUCUUGCGCUCCUUGGUAUUCCGAGGAGCAUGCCUGUUUGAGUGUCGUGAAACCCUCUCGACCCUCCUUCUUUGCUGAAGGAGGGUUGGAUUUGGACGCUUGCGGUGGGUUCCCAUCGCUCGUCUCUAAAUGCAUCAGCUGGUCCCAUAGAGUUGGUUUGACGAUGGUGUGAUAAUAUACACUUUUUGUUGACUGUGGCGCCGUCCUAGGCCGACUCUGAACCGGGCCGCUCAUAGCCGUCUUCGGACAAUGAUUUCAUGUCAUCUGACCUCAAAUCAGGUAGGACUACCCGCUGAACUUAAGCAUAUCAAUAAGCGGAGGAAAAGAAACUAACAAGGAUUCCCCUAGUAACGGCGAGUGAAGCGGGAAGAGCUCAAAUUUGUAAUCUGGCGGCCUGUGGCCGUCCGAGUUGUAGUCUGGAGAAGCGUUUUCUGCGUCGGACCGUGUACAAGUCCCUUGGAACAGGGCGUCACAGAGGGUGAGAAUCCCGUCUUUGACACGGACUGCCGGUGCUUUGUGAUGCGCUCUCGAAGAGUCGAGUUGUUUGGGAAUGCAGCUCAAAACGGGUGGUAAAUUCCAUCUAAAGCUAAAUAUUGGCGAAAGACCGAUAGCGAACAAGUACCGUGAGGGAAAGAUGAAAAGCACUUUGGAAAGAGAGUUAAACAGUACGUGAAAUUGUUGAAAGGGAAACGUUUGAAGUCAGUCGCGUCUCUCGGGACUCAGCCUUGCCUUUCCGCUUGGUGUACUUCCUGGGAUGACGGGCCAGCAUCGAUUUUGACCGUCGGAGAAAGGCCUUGGGAACGUGGCACCUUCGGGUGUGUUAUAGCCCUUGGUCGCAUGCGACGGUUGGGAUCGAGGACCGCAGCACGCCGUUUAUCGGCCGGGGUUCGCCCACGUGUACC